CAGCGACAACGGCCUUUAUUGGGAUAAACCACCGCACACCGUCCGGAAAGCCGGCUCCCGCCGCCCGCCCGCGGGGCAGGUAACAACACAGCCAGGGUUUCAGUGGCUUUUAUUUAAUACCCAGAAAUCCAAAGUAAACACCGCUUAAAACAAAUCAAGGACACGAAGAUACCGGCACACAAAUUGGACAAGAGAAUUUGGCUGCUUUAAAACAACACAGCUCUUGUGUCACGUCCAGUUAGGACCUCAGGGCACCUGGGGCUCUGGGCUCAGCACUUCGUGAUGCCGUGUUCGAGGGGGAACCAGAGCUGCAAGCAGGCGCCCCAAAACCAGGGGAGGGGAGGGCGUUCAAAAGACAGGCCACCUGAACAGUAAGAGGAGGCAUGUCAUGACCUUUACCCAUCACUGCAUGGCUACCGAUGACCUUGUUUCACUUAGUUCCUAUGGAUGAAGGUCCCUCUUCGGGGCAAAGGUGGGGAGGUCAUUCACUACAAAUGGGAAUCAGUGGAGCAGGACGGGUUCUAGAACUUUCCCGAGUUAAGGACUAAGAGGGAAGCUUUGCAUUCCAAGGAACUCCCAGCAAGUGUCAGAACAAAGUUGCUUCUGUUGCCCCAGUUACCCCAGAAGAUGCUGCAGCGUGUGGGCCUCCGCAGCGGGGAGGUCCCGGGCCCUGACACUCGUGUCCUGACAGCUGUUGUCCCCAAGCCACCAGGAACGAUGGGCGGAUCCCAAGAGGAGGAAUCUAGCCACUGCAGAGGUCACCCUGGCUUCGGCCUCAAAACUGCUUCCCAGCCCUCACCCCACAUGCGCUUUCAAUUCUGGUUCCGUCCAGACAGCAAAGGGAGGAAAGUGACGCGGACGGCCCGAGGGGUCCUGCACAGGUGGGCAGAAGGCACACCCACGCCUUCGCGCCAGUUUGAGAAAAAGUAAUUUGGAGACCAGGGCUUUAAAGAGUCAGCAUUAUGAGAUAAAAGUGCCUGUCUAUAGUUUUCCCAUAUAUUUAUCAUUCCUGUUACUCUCCUGCUUGAAACACAAGUGGGCUUGAAGUGGGCUCACUGCCCUGGGAGCUGAACCCCACCACCACCUCCCUCCCUAGAAGAAUCAACGCCCCUCACCCCAACCUUCAGGACGUGGAACAGGCCGGGGGAGCUGCCCACCUGGGCUGAAGACCCCAGGCUGCUUUCCAAACCCAGGCC
ensembl:lncRNA